GUUGAUUGUGAAAUGCCAGUUGAAGCAUAUGUCCUGCAAGCUUAGGGGUGCUACAAGUUGACCACUGCAGCAGUAAAGAUGACUCUGAAGAACGGCGUGGGAUGGUUCCUUUCAAAUGCACUUGAGCAGCGGUCUCCAACCACAGGGCCACAGAGCUGGAGGUGAGCAGCAGCUGGAUCUACCAUGAAAGACUUGUGAAUCCAGGAAGAGAGACUGACUGGGCAACAUGUUAUUCAGGGUCUCCCUCUGUUGUCCAAGGCUGGAGUGUAGUAGUGCUAUCGCAGCUGACUGCAGCCUCAACCUUCCAGGCUGAAGCGAUCCUCCCACCUCAACCUCCCACGUGGCUGAGACUACAGGUGCUUGCCACUAUGCCCAACUAACAUUUGGAAUUUUCGUAUACGUGGAUUCUAGAGGGGUGACAGCGAAACGUGAGUGGGACCAUCCAGUUGCAGGAAAACAAGCUUGACACGCCCACUAAUUCUACAUUAUGCUCCUACCUCCCGGCAGCCUCUCCAGGCCCAGAACUUUCUCCAGUCAGCCUCUACAGACCAAGCUCAUGACUCACAAUGGCCUAUUUAGGCCCAUACCCUACGUCACGGCAGCCUCCGCAGAUGAGGCUACUGCCUCACAACAGCCUCCACAGGCACAGCUCCAUCGUUACAAUGGCCUCUUUAGACCCAGCUCCUGCCUCCCAGCCUUCUCUCCAGGCCCUGAACUUUCUCAAGUCGACCUCACCAGGCCCAGCUCAUGCUUCUUUGCAGCCUCUCCAGGCCCAGCUCCUGCAUCUUGGUGGCCCCUCCAGGCCC
rnacentral:lncRNA from 10 species